GAUGAACGCUGACAGAAUGCUUAACACAUGCAAGUCCACUUGAACUUCGGUUUGGGUGGCGGACGGGUGAGUAACGCGUAAAGAACUUGCCUCACAGCUAGGGACAACAUUUGGAAACGAAUGCUAAUACCUGAUAUUAUGAUUAUAUGGCAUCGUAUAAUUAUGAAAGCUAUAUGCGCUGUGGGAGAGCUUUGCGUCCCAUUAGCUAGUUGGAGAGGUAACAGCUCACCAAGGCGAUGAUGGGUAGCCGGCCUGGGAGGGUGAUCGGCCACAAGGGGACUGAGACACAGCCCUUACUCCUACGGGAGGCAGCAGUGGGGAAUAUUGGACAAUGGACCGAGAGUCUGAUCCAGCAAUUCUGUGUGCACGAUGAAGUUUUUCGGAAUGUAAAGUGCUUUCAGUUGGGAAGAAAAAAAUGACGGUACCAACAGAAGAAGUGACGGCUAAAUACGUG
rnacentral:rRNA from 1 species